rnacentral:rRNA from 1 species
CCUACGGGUGGCUGCAGUGAGGAAUAUUGGUCAAUGGACGCGAGUCUGAACCAGCCAAGCCGCGUGAAGGAUGACGGCCCUAUGAGUUGUAAACUUCUUUUAUAAAGGGAUAAAGUCAGGUACGUGUACCUUUCUGUAUGUAUUUUACGAAUAAGGAUCGGCUAACUCCGUGCCAGCAGCCGCGGUAAUACGGAGGAUUCAAGCGUUAUCCGGAUUUAUUGGGUUUAAAGGGUGCGUAGGUGGGUGGUUAAGUCAGUGGUGAAAGUUUGCGGCUCAACCGUAAAAUUGCAUUUGAUACUGGUAGUCUUGAGUAUAGUUGAGGUAGGCGGAAUUCGUGGUGUAGCGGUGAAAUGCUUAGAUAUCAUGAAGAACUCCGAUUGCGAAGGCAGCUUACCAAGCUGCCACUGACAUUGAUGCUCGAAAGUGUGGGUAGCAAACAGGAUUAGAUACCCUAGUAGUC